rnacentral:rRNA from 1 species
GAGUAAUGCAUCGGAACGUGCCCAGCUAGUGGGGGAUAGCCCGGCGAAAGCCGNAUUAAUACCGCAUACGACCUACGGGUGAAAGCGGGGGACCGUAAGGCCUCGCGCUAUUGGAGCGGCCGAUGUCAGAUUAGGUAGUUGGUGGGGUAAAGGCCUACCAAGCCUGCGAUCUGUAGCUGGUCUGAGAGGACGACCAGCCACACUGGGACUGAGACACGGCCCAGACUCCUACGGGAGGCAGCAGUGGGGAAUUUUGGACAAUGGGCGCAAGCCUGAUCCAGCCAUGCCGCGUGCGGGAAGAAGGCCUUCGGGUUGUAAACCGCUUUUGUCGGGGAAGAAAUCUCCUGGGCCAAUACCCCGGGAGGAUGACGGUACCCGGAGAAUAANCACCGGCUAACUACGUGCCAGCAGCCGCGGUAAUACGUANGGUGCAAGCGUUAAUCGGAAUUACUGGGCGUAAAGCGUGC